GUUCUGCUUCAUCAACUGGAAGGAGAAGUGCUGAGGAAAAAAGUUUGUCCUUCCUUUGUCCAGAGCAGAAGAAUGCUGAAUGUACAGAUCUGAGCUGCAGCUUCUUUGGAUUUCCAAGCCAAACCUGUAGUGAUAUCCAAGCUGCGAAAGGAAAAUAGAAAACCUCUACCUGGAGCAGUGUAUUGUGAGGGAUGGCUCCAAAUGAGGAAAAGCAAGAGCAACUAGGAGGCUAGAAAUCUGCAAAUUAAAAAAGGGGAACAUGGAAAUACUACUGGGAAAGCAGAGAUGUCCCCAGCUCUGAGUUUUGCAUUUUGCUAUACAUUUUAGCAGGCUCUGCUAUAAGGAACUGUCAACAGUAAAUGUACAGCACUGCAGCCAAGGCAGCCUCUGCAGAGCUUCUUGCCAGAAGACAUUAUUCCUUUGAGGAAGACAUCAUUCCUUUUCCAACAGAAAUUAUGUCAUCAGGGAAAAAAAUGGGUAUUUUAUGCACUGGGUCACUUUUUUCCCCCCAUAAUGGGGCACUAUGUGACCCAUAAUUGGAAGAAAAUUGGUCAUGACUUGAGAGAUGACGUAUAUCCAGUGUACAGACCAUAUGUUAUGUUCAGGACAUGUCCUCUAAUUCAGCUGUCUCCACAGGUAGGAGCCUGGUGCCAAAUUAGCCACUGCCAUCUCCAUGUGCUGAACCCAACUCUGAAGAAAAUAAAUGUUUACAUCUUACUGAA